UGCACCGCCGACCGACCUU
rnacentral:siRNA from 1 species